rfam:Neotoma lepida isolate 417 scaffold_288, whole genome shotgun sequence.
UAGGGCUUGAACCUGGCAUACAAUGUAGAUUUCUGUGUUUAUUAGUCAACAGCUACAUUGUCUGCUGGGUUUCAGGCUACCUGG